UUCUUUUCUUCCUCAUUUUGCUAGAUCUCUCGAACUCUCUUUCCAGCCUUCUCAAGUUCUCUCUGCACUCUCUCAUUCUUCCAGCAGCAAUCUCUUCCUUUUUAUAGUGAAAUUUGCUCGCUUUUGUCAACUAAUGCCAUACUUGCACCAUGCCUAAGCAUGGCUAUUUUCUUUUUCUUGUACACAGAUAUUCACCUACUAAAACCUCAUCAAAAUUACAAUUUUUCAGUAUUUAAUUUGUUGAGUGUGGCCAUACCUCCACUAGAGUUAGGUCACCAACAACAACGUCAGACGCUGUGAGAGUGAGAAGUGAAAAACUAUAUACCAGAAUACGUAGUUGUGCAGGCAUGUAUGCUUUUCAUAGCCAGAUCAUUAAAUGAGCUUUUAGAGCAUGAGUAGGAAAUCACCUCAAUAUAUGGCCAAAGCUAGCACACAGCAGGUGCUGUUCAUACAUAGUACAGCCACCUCAAGUUGCUUUCCUGCAUUGCCAGUGAGGAAGAGAUAAUCUGCAUCCCAAGGACUAGAUUAUCCAAUAUCAUACAUGUCAAUCUAAACCUCAGGAUGCAGAUUACCCAAUCCUGACCCAAUAUUGAUUAUCAACUCCUUAAAGGAUAAAAUAUAUCAUUUCAUGCUCGAGAGAGAGAG
rnacentral:misc_RNA from 1 species